rnacentral:rRNA from 1 species
GAAUAUUGGACAAUGGGCGAAAGCCUGAUCCAGCCAUGCCGCGUGAGUGAUGAAGGCCCUAGGGUUGUAAAGCUCUUUCAGCGGGGAAGAUAAUGACGGUACCCGCAGAAGAAGCCCCGGCUAACUUCGUGCCAGCAGCCGCGGUAAUACGAAGGGGGCUAGCGUUGUUCGGAAUUACUGGGCGUAAAGCGCGCGUAGGCGGAUCGCUAAGUCAGGGGUGAAAUCCAGAGGCUCAACCUCGGAAUUGCCUUUGAUACUGGCAAUCUUGGAGUCCGGGAGAGGUGAGUGGAAUUCCUAGUGUAGAGGUGAAAUUCGUAGAUAUUAGGAAGAACACCAGUGGCGAAGGCGGCUCACUGGCCCGGUACUGACGCUCAUGUGCGAAAGCGUGGGGAGCAAACAGG